UACGAAGGGGGCUAGCGUUGUUCGGAAUUACUGGGCGUAAAGCGCACGUAGGCGGAUAUUUAAGUCAGGGGUGAAAAUCCCCAGGAGCUCAACUCGUAGGAACUUGCCUUUGAUACGUGGGUAUCUCGAGUAUGGAAAGAGGUGAGUGGAAUUCCGAGUGUAGAGGUGAAAUUCGUAGAUAUUCGGAGGAACACCAGUGGCGAAGGCGGCUCACUGGUCCAUUACUGACGCUGAUGAGCGAAAGCCAGGGGAGCAAACGGG
rnacentral:rRNA from 1 species